UAUCAAGGGCUUUCCUGUUACAGGCUGCUUGCCUGUUGCAGAGGGGUGGGAUGAGAAGAACAGAUGUGGACCCAGAGUGGCUCACUGCUGCUUCCUGUGACUCCAUUUUCCAUGACUCUUCAGCCUUUUCAAGGGCCAUGAGGUUAAGCCGACUGUAGCUUUGACCUUCUUUGUCAGGUUGUCAGAACAAGAACCUUCAUUAUAAAGAAUUGCACUUAUGGGAUAGAGGGCCAAAAAUCCUGGCUUCCCAACCACAGAGAUCACUUGAAUGGCAUCCAUUUCUCAACUGCACUGAAGUCAUAGCCAGUUAUUGAAAUCAAACUUCAUGAAGACCAUGACCUUUCACUCUUGUCAGAGAGAAACAUGUAUUUGGAAUGUGGAUGUGACUCACAGUAGCUGUGCCUGGAGAAAGCAAAAAUUCAUAUGUGCAUUCACUCACUUCACAGACCUACAGCAAGGUGUGUACAGGAGCUCCAAAGUAGCUAUAGAAGUAGCCUGAUUCAGUACAAUUGCAUAUGAAAAACCAGAUUUGGAAGUUUUGGAGGAGGUCAAAAGUAUGGAUGAUGAAUAUGAUGAUGACUUUGAUGUUGGUCAUAUGAACCAAAGUUUCUAUGACAAUGAAAUGGAGGAAAAUCAACCAAUACAGACACAGGGAAUGCAGAUAUCCUUGAUUCAGAUGAUGAAGAGAGCAGCAAUAACACAAAUUGACCAGCAUAGAAAUUGAAUGCAGGAACAAAACAGACAUUCCAAAUGAAAUGUUGCAAUUUCAAAACAGAGAAUCAAUCAUUGGAUUUCAGAAAGACAUAACACUGGCCUUGUAUAUGGCAAAGAAAACAAACUGGUUCUGCUCAUGUCAAUAUUGCACCAUGAUGGAAAUAUUUAUAGGAAAACCUUGACAAAAUGAAAGCCUGAGAUGUGAACUUUCUACAACAAAACCAAAAGUGGAGUAGAUGUUGUUGAUGACUUAUUUGGCAACUAUAAUGUCACUUGAAACACAAAGCAUUGGCCAAUGGUGGUGUUUUACUUGAUCUUAAAUGUGUGUGGCAUAAAUAACUUGAUACUUUAUAAAGAAAAUAACAAGUGCAAAAUACCACAGAGAAAUUUUCUUAGAGGAUUGGGACUGGAAUUCAGAAGAGAUCAUUUACAGCAGAGGAAAAACAAAAUAUUUCUGCCCAAGGAGACUAUGCAAAAAAAUUUGUGGAGCACAUUCGUUAGCUGACAGGUAAAUGGGCAGGUGCAGCAUCACAAAGACCUACUAUGACAAUAUGAAAACCAAAAGGAUAUCAACUGUGCCCUACAAAAACGGACAGGAAAACAAAACAUACAUGCUACCUGUAAGCGAUACUUGUGUAUAGCACACAGAGUUUUCAUGUGUGAAGAUUGCCUUGGGUGUAACAUUUGAAGCAAAGAUUAUUUCUGUGGUAGACUUUUAUUUGUAUUUACAUUGUAUUUCACAUAGGUUUUUAUUUUUAGUGUUAUCUUUUAAGUUUUGUAAGCAAGUAAACAGCUAAUGUGAAAUGUUGAUGUCUAGUCUAAACACUCAUGAUAUAUUUGAUGUUUUAUUUUAUUUUCUUGCUAAGUGCAUGUUGUACAAUAUAGUAAGAAGCUCCUAACAAAAGAGGAAGACAAGAGCAGUGACAAGAAUUGUGGGGGGCCUUGCCCCCCCGCUAGAACUCUUGAGUGCCUUUUAUGGACAUAUCCGGGCCUGCUGCAAAUCUACCCGGCAACAAGGAAGUAGCCCCAGUACCCUCCUCUUGCUCCUCCCCUCUAGC